AGUGAACGCUGGCGGUAGGCCUAACACAUGCAAGUCGAACGGCAGCACAGUAAGAGCUUGCUCUUACGGGUGGCGAGUGGCGGACGGGUGAGGAAUACAUCGGAAUCUACUUUUUCGUGGGGGAUAACGUAGGGAAACUUACGCUAAUACCGCAUACGACCUACGGGUGAAAGCAGGGGAUCUUCGGACCUUGCGCGAUUGAAUGAGCCGAUGUCGGAUUAGCUAGUUGGCGGGGUAAAGGCCCACCAAGGCGACGAUCCGUAGCUGGUCUGAGAGGAUGAUCAGCCACACUGGAACUGAGACACGGUCCAGACUCCUACGGGAGGCAGCAGUGGGGAAUAUUGGACAAUGGGCGCAAGCCUGAUCCAGCCAUACUGCGUGGGUGAAGCAGGCCUUCGGGUUGUAAAGCCCUUUUGUUGGGAAAGAAAAGCAGCAGGUUAAUACCCCGCUGUUCUGACGGUACCCAAAGAAUAAGCACCGGCUAACUUCGUG
rnacentral:rRNA from 1 species